UAUUGGUUUCAGCAUGACAAGGUGCAUCAAAGGAGCUUGGAGCCUCCCUGACACGACUCUGCCUUCGACACAAAUCAAUAGAACUCAAGCUCAAGUCCUUCUCAAGUUCAAUUAUGGAAUAUUUGGUGGUCCCUCUUCAAGAUAAGACAGAAGAAUGGAAGAAGGUUACAGUUCAACUUGACAAGGAUCACGCAAAAGAGUACAAGAAGGCUAGGCAGGAUAUCAAGAAGAAGUCUUCGGACACUAUCAGACUUCAAAAGAAAGCAAGAAAAGG